rnacentral:lncRNA from 1 species
GAAUGAAAAGACAUUUGAAUGUGUAUCAAUAGACCUAAGUUUUAGCCAUGGUCUUUGUAAACUUAGGAAAGACACUAUUUCCCCAUUUGUAAAGCUGAAAGAAUAAUGCUUGCCUUGCCCACCUCACAUAUGUUGUUAUUAUGACUAGGUAUAGUAAUGACUUUGAACAUGCUUUGUAAAAUGAAGAACCUAUAUACAAGGUGUUAAUGACCAUUCUGCUCUAAACCUCACAAAUGGGAAAUAAUUUAUUUUCCCCAAGGGAAAUAUUCUUUGUAAACAACCAUGAUCUACUUUUGUCCACCUUCAUUUUAUCUAAGUCGUGUGUGGGGUGGGGGAUGUGUAUGNNNNNNNNNNNNNNNNNNNNNNCAUCCAUGCAGUUAAGUGCCUAUGGAAGAAGCAGGAGGCUUUCACUUCAUUAUUCUGGGAGUAUCCAGAUGUUUGGGAUUAAACAAAUACCUAUCUUUUUCACUUAGGUAUAACAGAGAAAGAAGCAACAAAUGGAAUUUGAAGAUAUUCGCAUACUCAGUGAAAGGCAAUAUUCUAAAUCUUAGGACACCUAUAAAGUAACAUGCAGCUAUGUUUAAUGCUUUCAAAAAGGCAUGUAGUCAGGGAGGUACAAGUAGUAGAAGAUAGCAACAAACAGUCCAAGCUGAUUUCAUUGUAAAUGAGUGUAGUGCAGGCUGAAAAUCCAAUAGGCCAUUUCACUAUUUCUUCCUCUUUUUCCUGUAGUGAGAGAGCAUUCCAGCUUUGAUCACAGUUGGAAAUUCACAUGGCAGCUUUAUUGUUUUGUUGGAAAUGUAUUCUCAAGCCAAGCAGUAGACCCAAAUGAAAAGUUAAGUAUGAAAAUACAUUCCAAAGCCGCAUGGAAAUGACUUGUAUAUUAUUCUUUGUUUUGCAUUAACUAUCUCCCUCAACGCAGAUAAUUAAGAACCGUAUGUACCAACAAUUUUUUUUUAGGUUCAAAAAUAAGUUUCCUUCCAUGUUUUUAUCAGUCAAUCAAGAUCUAUUCAUUAAGCAGCUACUCCAGAACCUAACACUAUUAAUUACCAUGGGACUGAACCAUAAAAGGAAGUAAAAAAUACUGUUUGCUCUAAAGAAGCUUAACA